AGAAUUGAGGGGGGCUGCUCCUAGUACGAGAGGACCGGAGUGGACGCAUCACUGGUGUUCGGGUUGUCAUGCCAAUGGCAUUGCCCGGUAGCUAAAUGCGGAAGAGAUAAGUGCUGAAAGCAUCUAAGCACGAAACUUGCCCCGAGAUGAGUUCUCCCUGACCCUUUAAGGGUCCUGAAGGAACGUUGAAGACGACGACGUUGAUAGGUCGGGUGUGUAAGCGUAGCGAUACGUUGAGCUAACCGAUACUAAUGAACCGUGAGGCUUAACCUUACAACGCCGAAG
rnacentral:rRNA from 1 species